UACGUAGGGUGCAAGCGUUAAUCGGAAUUACUGGGCGUAAAGCGUGCGCAGGCGGUUUUGUAAGUCAGAUGUGAAAUCCCCGGGCUUAACCUGGGAACUGCGUUUGAAACUAGCGAGCUUGAGUGUGGCAGAGGGGGGUGGAAUUCCACGUGUAGCAGUGAAAUGCGUAGAGAUGUGGAGGAACACCGAUGGCGAAGGCAGCCCCCUGGGUCAACACUGACGCUCAUGCACGAAAGCGUGGGGAGCAAACAGG
rnacentral:rRNA from 1 species